CGCAAGCCUAACGGAGCAACGCCGCGUGAGGGAUGAAGGCCUCUGGGCUGUAAACCUCUUUUAUCAAGGAAGAAGAUCUGACGGUACUUGAGGAAUAAGCCACGGCUAAUUCCGUGCCAGCAGCCGCGGUAAUACGGGAGUGGCAAGCGUUAUCCGGAAUUAUUGGGCGUAAAGCGUCCGCAGGCGGCCUUGAAAGUCUGUCGUUAAAGCGUGGAGCUUAACUCCAUUUCGGCGGUGGAAACUACAAGGCUUGAGUGUGGUAGGGGCAGAGGGAAUUCCCGGUGUAGCGGUGAAAUGCGUAGAUAUCGGGAAGAACACCAGUGGCGAAGGCGCUCUGCUGGGCCAUAACUGACGCUCAUGGACGAAAGCCAGGGGAGCGAAAG
rnacentral:rRNA from 1 species